GCAGAUCCAAUAACGGAUAACUGAAAGGCAUUUUCUUUCCUUGUGCCAGGCAAUGAUGGGAACAACUUGAGUGAAGUUAUAUGUUUGCUGUAAACCCCCACCCCCCACAAUAAUUAAAAAUUGAUGGUGCAACACACGUUGGAAUGUGGAAAACAAACAGGGGUCAGAAUCAGAUGACCCGAGUACUCCAUAGAUCUGAACGCCAAACCUUUUCCAAUGUGAUCACGGCAUUUGUAGCUAACGGUCUUUCUGAGGGUUACAUGUUAGAGUGGGUUGGAAAGACCGAAGAGGACACUCACUACCAAGGGUGGCUGGCUCAUAAGGGCAAAAUGGAUGGAGUCCCAUCACACCUGGUAGGUCAGAGGUUGAGGCAAUUUUUCCUUUCUCCUUUACAUAUAUUUCAAUUCAAGUUUGGCUAAAGCGCACAUAAACCAACAUGCUCAAUGAGGUUAAUUAACAGUAUUUCACCUAUCUUUAGCUCUGGAUAAUGUNAUCCCUGGAACCACUUCAUCGUGGCUGUUAUCCUCUAUAUCCCUUCAGCCACAAUGGGUCAAACUGUUAAGGAAUGCAUCUGGCAAUUGAAUAGUUAAAGGGAUAAUAAUCAAAUAUCUGGAAGAUGCCUUGCUAGCUAACUUUUCCAACAUGUCAACUAUUUAAACACAUUGUUCGUCUCAAAACAAUGCAUAACUUUUACCUUUGCUAGAUUAAAUAUCUUACCCUCAGUCCUGUUGUAUAAGCACCUUUGAUUGUGCCAAGUGUGUCUUAUGGAAUCAAUAGAUCAUGUGCUACAAUAUUGUCUGCAUUAUGGAGGCAUUCAAUCCAGUUAAUAAUAAGGCAAUUUCCUAGUAGAGAUGACUUUUGUACAUUCUUGCCAUUAGCAGAUCAUAGUAUAUGUAUCACAAGAAGUACAUGUAAUAAUUUGUGUCAGUGUCAUUCUCACAAGGAACCAUUUGACAAGGGUUCUGGAUUAUGAUGGGAAGCAUUUGCAGCUUAGUUGUUUACAUUUGAUAUGAUUGUUUUAUUCUGUUGCAUGUAUUUUUUUCACCUUUACCCUUCUGGGAUUGUAAAGAAACUAUGCACUUACUAUGGCUCACUCCUGAGUCUUCAAAUAUCUAAAGGAAUGUCUUCUCCCAUAUAGACCUGCCUUUGCCCUAAGAUCUGCUGGUGAGGCCAUCUUGGCAGUACCAUCUCCUCCAGCAGUUAAGGGGGUGGGGAGACAUGGGAGGGCAUUCUCAGGCUAUGGAAUAGUCUCUCCUCUGAGGUACAUCAGACACCCUUUUUAUAGGUAUUUAGCUGACAGGUGAGGCACACCUCUUUGCCCUGACCUUUGUCUGAGGGAGCAGCUUCCCCUCCUAAUGCAGGAACUGUCAUUAUUUUAACUAACUUAUCUGUUUUUAUACUGAUUUUUAUAUACUGAUU
rnacentral:lncRNA from 1 species